AAAUACUAAAAACUAUUUAAUAGAGUAAGGAGAUGUUUAGCUUUUUAAAAUAUUAAGUGAUAAAAAAAACUAUUUGGUACAUGCAAAGGGUGGGGAGGAGAAAUAUGGUUGAAAUUGUCAAGUUUACUUACGUUAUGAUUAUACUUAUUUCCUUAUUUCUUUUUUCAACGAACGUUGACGCAUUGCGUAUUAGAUGUAAUAGAGUUUCUGAUUGUCCAAAACAAAUGUAUUGCAAUAGGGAUUAUGAACUAAGUUGUGUAUAUAACCAAUGUAAAUGUGUUAGAAUCACUUAAGCAAUAGAUUUUGUGCCCAUAUGAUUAUGUAUUUAGUUUCAGACCCCAAGAGAGAACAGAAACACCAUGCUUGAACUUUUCACGAGUUAUCAUUUGGUUAUUGUGUUGGAACCCAAUAAUUUGAAUUUCUUUCCACUUUAUAAGUUCAAAAACUUUGUAGUUAUGAAUUUGUACUAUAAAAGAUGGUAAUGAAAUAAAAUAAUCCAGUAAUUAAUAUUAUUUAGAUUGUUUCACUUU